GGGUGAUUAGCACAGUGGUAGUGUUGCUAUCCUUGCGUGAUAGAGGCCAGGGGUUCGAAUCCCUUAUCAUCCA